GCUUAUAAUGUCAUUUUAAAAUUCUCUUCAAAAACAAUCCCCACACUUUUCCUUCAAGGAAGCUAGCCUUAUUUUUGUUACUCCUGGUCCAAAAAUAAUGGAUAACUCUUGGUUUCUCACCUUUAUUGUAGGCUGUAUUGUGGGUUAUUUGAUAGGCAAGAACCAUUAAUAAAGGCUCAUAUUGCUGAUAGCCUUACAAGUUUCACAUUAACUGAAUUCGUUUGCCAAAAAUGGAUGUGGAUUGGGUGAUCACAUUUUUAGUUGGCUGUUUGGUUGGAUACAUGGUGGCCAGAAAUACCUAGGGGAGGAUAAAUGAAUGGAGUGAUAAAGAAGGCCCAGAACAUGUCUUGAAUGGCCAACCAAAGUACACCUGGGAUUCUAUGUACUAGAAUAUUUCUGCCUGCCUUAACUUCGAAAUCUGGACCCGUUUCCGACAGUAAAAUUCACUUGAAUAUUGGGAUCAAGAAUUGCAAGUCCUUUUCGAAUAACCCGCAUCCAAAUCAAAGAAGCAAAAUGACUCACGUUAUCUCCUUUGCCUUGGGCGUGAUUAUUGGAAUGAUGAGCUGCCGGAAGUGCUAGAUCCCUCAUCUAUUAAGCUGGAAGUAAUCUAAAUUUAUCAAGAAAAACACCUGUUAAAGUAUAAACAGUAAAAUAUAAUUAUAUUAUGAGAAGUUAA